AUCAAAGUUUCUGCUGCCCAAAACGAGCCACGCAAACGCCCCCAUAUAAUUACCUAAUUACCCUUUAGGCAUAAAUACCGUUCUUCCCUCCGCCCGAUUGCGGGAAAAAAACAACAAUAAAACGAACAUCCAGGAUGGCCGCCGUACAUCUGUCCUUAGCAUCCCUUCAACAGCCCGCAACGAUACCCUCCUCCGCCUCUGCCCGAAAUCCCAGAAAACCUUUCUCAUUCCCUUCUAUUUCCAGAAAGCAUCGCACCAUCUCCAUCUCACGUGCCGUUGCCGAUUCCUCCAAUUCCUCGCCGUCUGGCACCGAAGCAGCACCGCCCCAGAAGCCCGAAAUCGAACUCGAAUUCCUCGGGCCAAAACCAGGGGUAGAUGGGUCUUUUCCAGUUGAGAGAGCUUCGGCUGUGAGCGGCGAGAAGCUUCUGAGGAACAUCAUGCUCGACAACAAGAUGGAACUCUACGCCACCUAUGGAAAAGUGAUGAAUUGCGGUGGUGGUGGAAGCUGUGGCACAUGCAUUGUGGAGAUUCUCGAUGGCAAAGAUCUAUUAAAUGAAAGAACAAACACAGAACUGCGGUAUCUGAAAAAGGCAUGCCAAGUUUAAACGCAUCUGUGCUUCAAGUUGUUUUGCUCUAUUCAAACGAAACCUGAUUCUUGGAGGCUUGCAUGUCAAACUAUUGUUGGGAACAAGGAAAAUUCCGGCAAGGUUGUUGUUCAGCGGUUGCCCCAAUGGAAGAAGUGAUCGUUUAGAUCGCUGAGACACUGAUUGUGAAGCUGAGGUUCAAUGGUCAAUGAAGACAGAUUUGUGUAAUCUCCUGUAAAAAAAACAACAUCGGAUUUCUUGAUCGUAAAUUGCUCCAUUAUGAAAGCGCUGCAAUUUCUAGAAUUUAUGUAUUUUUUCUAGACA